rnacentral:lncRNA from 1 species
UUUUUUUUUUGGUGAAAUUCAGUCAAAGUGAGUUGAUUAGGUGAGUUAAAUGUUCUUUAUCUUUUUCGAGACAUUAUUGAGAUAAUUAGUGUUUACCAAAUCGGUGAGUUGGUCAAAUUGACGGAUAGAUUGACCAUUUUUAAAGAAUAUGUUUGAAUUUUAAUUUGCAUUCUAUUUAAUUUAUAAUUUGUUUAGUUAUUAUGGACCAUAAAGCCUUCAAGAAUUUGAAUGCAAACGUUAUUAUUUUUGUUUUUUUGAGGUUAAG